ACUGCCUAUAAUGCAAGUCGAGCGGACAGAUGGGAGCUUGCUCCCUGAUGUUAGCGGCGGCACGGGUGAGUAACACGUGGGUAACCUGCCUGUAAGACUGGGAUAACUCCGGGAAACCGGGGCUAAUACCGGAUGGUUGUUUGAACCGCAUGGUUCAAACAUAAAAGGUGGCUUCGGCUACCACUUACAGAUGGACCCGCGGCGCAUUAGCUAGUUGGUGAGGUAAUGGCUCACCAAGGCAACGAUGCGUAGCCGACCUGAGAGGGUGAUCGGCCACACUGGGACUGAGACACGGCCCAGACUCCUACGGGAGGCAGCAGUAGGGAAUCUUCCGCAAUGGACGAAAGUCUGACGGAGCAACGCCGCGUGAGUGAUGAAGGUUUUCGGAUCGUAAAGCUCUGAUGUUAGGGAAGAACAAGUACCGUCCGUUUUUUUUUGUACCUGGACGGUACCUAACCUGAAUGCCUCGGCUAACUGCGG
rnacentral:rRNA from 1 species